rnacentral:rRNA from 1 species
GUUUGCGAUCAUACCAACACUAAUGCACCGGAUCCCAUCAGAACUCCGCAGUUAAGCGUGCUUGGGCGAGAGUAGUACUAGGAUGGGUGACCCCCUGGGAAGUCCUCGUGUUGCAACCC